GACGAACGCUGGCGGCGUGCCUAAUACAUGCAAGUAGAACGCACAGUUUAUACCGUAGCUUGCUACACCAUAAACUGUGAGUUGCGAACGGGUGAGUAACGCGUAGGUAACCUGCCUGGUAGCGGGGGAUAACUAUUGGAAACGAUAGCUAAUACCGCAUAAUAUUGAUUAUUGCAUGAUAAUUGAUUGAAAGAUGCUAUUGCAUCACUACCAGAUGGACCUGCGUUGUAUUAGCUAGUAGGUGAGGUAACGGCUCACCUAGGCGACGAUACAUAGCCGACCUGAGAGGGUGGUCGGCCACACUGGGACUGAGACACGGCCCAGACUCCUACGGGAGGCAGCAGUAGGGAAUCUUCGGCAAUGGGCGAAAGUCUGACCGAGCAACGCCGCGGGAGUGAAGAAGGUUUUCGGGUCGUAAAGCUCUGUUGUAAGGGAAGAACGGGUGUGAGAGUGGAAAGUUCACACUGUGACGGUAUCUUACCAGAAAGGAACGGCUAACUACGUG
rnacentral:rRNA from 1 species